UACGAGAGGCCCAAACGUUAUUCGGAAUUACUGGGCUUAAAGAGUUCGUAGGCGGCAUGAAAAGCAGGGUGUGAAAGCCCUCGGCUCAACCGAGGAAUUGCGCUCUGAACUGUCGUGCUUGAGGAACCUAGAGGUGAGCAGAACAGAUGGUGGAGCGGUGAAAUGCGUUGAUAUCAUCUGGAAUACCAGAGGCGAAGGCGGCUCACUGGGGGUUUUCUGACGCUGAGGAACGAAAGCCAGGGUAGCGAACGGG
rnacentral:rRNA from 1 species